rnacentral:tRNA from 7 species
GGUGGGGUUCCCGAGCGGCCAAAGGGAGCAGACUGUAAAUCUGCCGUCAUCGACUUCGAAGGUUCGAAUCCUUCCCUCACCACCA